CAGCAUACUGCCGUGAAUACGUUCCCGGGCCUUGUACACACCGCCCGUCACGCCAUGAGAGUUGGAAAUACCCGAAGCCUGUGAGCUAACAGUAAUGAGGCAGCAGUCGAAGGUAGAGCCAAUGAUUGGGGUGAAGUCGUAACAAGGUAGC
rnacentral:rRNA from 1 species